UCCCUGCACACUUGUUAGGGGGUGU
rnacentral:piRNA from 1 species